CGCCUGGGGAGUACGGCCGCAAGGUUGAACUCAAAGGAUUGACGGGGACCCGCACAAGCGGUGGAUGAUGUGGUUUAAUUCGAUGCAACGCGAAAACCUUACCCACCUUUGACAUGGCAGGAAGUUUCCAGAGAUGGAUUCGUGUCGAAAGAAACCUGCACACAGGUGCUGCAUGGCUGUCGUCAGCUCGUGUCGUGAGAUGUUGGGUUAAGUCCCGCAACGAGCGCAACCCUUGUCAUUAGUUGCUACAUUCAUUGGGCACUCUAAUGAGACUGCCGGUGACAAACCGGAGGAAGGUGGGGAUGACGUCAGUCCUCAUGGCCCUUAUAGGUGGGGCUACACACGUCAUACAUGGCUGGUACAGAGGGUUGCCAACCCGCGAGGGGAGCUAAUCCCAUAAACCAGUCGUAGUCCGGAUCGCAGUCUGCACUCGACUGCGUGAAGUCGAAUCGCUAGUAAUCGCGGAUCAGCAUGCCGCGGUGAUACUUUCCCGGGUCUGACACACGCCGUC
rnacentral:rRNA from 1 species